rnacentral:rRNA from 1 species
UACGAAGGGGGGCUAGCGUUGCUCGGAAUGACUGGGCGUAAAGGGCGCGUAGGCGGCUUGCACCGUCAGAUGUGAAAUUCCUGGGCUUAACCUGGGGGCUGCAUUUGAUACGUGUGGGCUUGAGUGCGGAAGAGGGUCGUGGAAUUCCCAGUGUAGAGGUGAAAUUCGUAGAUAUUGGGAAGAACACCGGUGGCGAAGGCGGCGACCUGGUCCGUGACUGACGCUGAGGCGCGAAAAGCGUGGGGGAGCAAACAGG